rfam:Lactobacillus backii strain TMW 1.1989 plasmid pL11989-5, complete sequence.
GAGAACUAAUAUUUCAAGUAGUGGAAUGAUGGGGUAACGCCCUGAAACGCUCCCCCUAAUACUCCGACUGGUGUAAGCAUGGAUUUAGCCAUCUUGGAUCAGAAGCUCGGUGAAGUCGGCUGAGAGUUGCCGUAAUCGAAAGAACGAAAACCGUUCAGAGGUGAAUGGUGCAACCUAUAGUCCGGAGUCUUAAAA